CAAUUUGAAAGGAGCCAUGAAUAUGCAAGGUCUUCAUCAUCAACAACAACAAUUGGUUGCUCUGCUCUCCGUCGCUCUCCCCAAAGACAACGAUUCUUCAUCUUCAUCGCAACCUAACAAUCCCUCUGAAGCUGGCGAAGACGAUGCUUCUCGACUGGCAGCCAUCAACUCACUUCACCGUGCAAUUGUUUACCCUCAUAACUCGCUUCUCGUCACUCACUCUGCCUCUUUUCUCGCACAGGGGUUUUCACAACUCAUUGCAGACAAAUCAUAUUCUGUACGUCAAGCUGCUGCCACAUCAUAUGGUGCCUUGUGUGCUGUCUUAUGUUCACUCCCUAUUGGAUCAAAUGGAAGGCAGAACCAAGUUAUACUCGGAAAUUUGGUUGAUAGAUUUAUUGGCUGGGCAUUGCCAUUGUUUAGCAAUGUUAAUGCUGGUGACGGGACAGUGGAAUAUGCAGCAGAAGGUCUCCAUGAGUUCCUCAGCAUUGGAGAUAUCGGUGCUACUGAGAGAUAUGCAUUGCCCAUUCUCAAAGCAUGUCAAGAACUUCUCGAGGAUGAGAGAACCUCCUUAAGCUUACUGCACCGGAUUUUGAGUGUUUUGACUUUGAUUUCUUUGAAGUUCUUCAUCUGCUUCCAGGCCCAUUUUGUUGACAUAGUUGAUUUGCUUCUUGGAUGGGCAAUGAUUCCCGACCUUGCUGAGCCUGAUAGGAGUGUCAUUAUGGAUAGUUUUUUGCAAUUUCAGAAACAUUGGGUCAACAAUUUGCAGUUUUCCUUGGGAUUGCUUUCAAAGUUUUUGGGGGACAUGGAUGUACUGCUGCAGGAUGGAAGCCCUGGGACCGCACAACAGCGUCAAAGAUUGCUUGCAUUAUUAUCUUGUUUUUCUACCGUUUUGCAGUCCACAGCUUCUGGGUUGCUAGAGAUAAACUUACUGGAGGAAAUUAAAAACCCCCUUGGCAAGAUGCUUCCUCAAUUAUUGGGAUGUUUGUCAUUGGUUGGAAGAAAAUUUGGCUGGUCAAAAUGGAUUGUGGAUUCCUGGAAGUGUUUGACUCUCUUGGCUGAAAUUCUGAGUGAAAGAUUUGCAUCUUUCUACAGUAUUGUAGUCGACAUCCUGUUUCAAAGCUUGGAUAUGAAACAAGCCACAAAAACUUUAAAUGCUGAGAAACUUACUUCUUUUCAGGUUCAUGGGGUUCUCAAGACCAAUCUUCAAUUAUUGUCACUUCAGAAGCUUGGGCUUCUAUCUUCAUCUGUACAUAAAAUAUUACAGUUCGAUUCACCUGUAUCUCAGCUUCGUCUGCAUCCAAAUCACUUGGUGACCUCAAGUUCUGCUGCUACAUAUGUCUUCUUACUCCAGCACGGAAACAAUGAAGUUGUCGAGUGUGCAAUGACUUCAUUAGUUGAAGAGCUAAACAUGUUAAGGAGUAUGCUUGGGAAAACAUCAUUGGAAGUAAAUCAGUUUGGAAGCAUUGCAGCUCCUAAUAUUUUUUCCAAAACUGAGCUGUUUGCACUCUUUAAGUUUGAUAUGAAAGUUCUCCUGAGUUGUGUCUCUUUGGGUGGUGGCAAUAGUUUGAUAGGCCAAGCAGAAAUUGAUACUUUAUAUGUUAAUAGAUCAGAGAAAAUGAUACAUCAUAUUAUCGAGAAUCUGAAUCCUUUUGAACUGCCUAUUCGGGAAAAUGUGGAGUUGCAAGUAAGUAUUUUCAAGAUGUUGAAUAGGCUAAGUACAGUGGAAUUUCUUAGCAAGUUCUCAAUGAGGAAAAACAACAGUGGGGUUGUCCUGUUUGACAAAGGAAAUGAAAAAGUUUCAGUUGCUGGUACUCUUAGGGAGGGACAUUCAAUUUUGAUGUUGGAGCAUCUCAGGAAAUACACUGUGCUCCUCAAAAGAGCUCUUCAUAUUUCAUCGCCUUUGGCAUUGAAGUUAGAAGCAUUACAAUGGAUAAAUACAUACUGUGAGACUGUUAAGCGUAUGUAUGACAGUUUAAAGUGUACAAAUUAUCAUUCUGAGGCCGUUGGCUAUCUUGAAUUUUUUGGUGACAUAGUGUUCUCUGUUCUUGAUGCUGCAUCUGAUAGGGAACCAAAGGUGAGGUGUCAGGUUGUAGUGGUAUUGGAAAUGUUUCUGCACUCAAAACUUCUCCACUCGUCACAAUUAUAUGCUUUUACCGAAACUAUUCUUGAAAAGCUUGGAGAUCCAGAUGAAGAUAUCAAAGAAUUAUUUUUGAAGUUACUUUCUCAUGCAUUGCCUGUCACAGUACUUGUAUGUGGUAUGAAUGACAAUGGAGCAGUUACCAAAUACAGGCAAUUUUCCCCUCGACUUGGCAACAAGCCAAUCAUGCAGUGGAAGCAAAUUUUUGCCCUGAAGCAACUGCCACAGCAGCUUCACUCAAAGCAGCUUGUCUCCAUCUUAAGUUACAUUUCACAAAGAUGGAAGGUGCCUCUUUCUUCUUGGAUCCAGCGGCUUGUUCAUACUUGUCGCAAUUCAAAGGAUUUUGCUUUGGCUCAACAAGAUGACAUGGGAAACCUGCAUGUGACUAGCUUAUGGUUGGAUAUGAAUGUGGAGGAAGAUCUUCUGGAAAAAAUAUGUUCUGUAAAUCUCCUCGCUGGAGCAUGGUGGGCCAUACAUGAAGCAGCUAGAUACUGUAUUACUACACGCCUUCGAACCAAUCUCGGUGGGCCCUCACAAACUUUUGCUGCUUUGGAGCGAAUGCUUUUGGAUGUUGCACAUGUAUUACAGGUUAAUACUGACCAAAGUGAUUCAAACCUAAAUAUUUUAGGUUCCUCCUACGCUCACUUGUUACCAUUGCGAUUAUUACUUGAUUUUGUUGAGUCGUUGAAGAAAAAUGUGUACAAUGCUUAUGAUGGAUCAACUGUUUUACCAUCUACAUCUCGUCAGAGUCUUGUUUUCUUCAGAGCAAAUAAAAAAGUCUGCGAGGAAUGGUUUUCUCGAAUAUGUGAGCCAAUGAUGAAUGCAGGGCUGGCACUGAAAUGUCAUGAUGCUACAAUUCAUUACUGUAGUUUGCGUCUGCAAGAGCUCAAAAGUUCAGUGGUUUCAUCUAUGAAGGACAGGUCAAGGACCCAAGUGAUAGAAAACCUUCAUAACUUGAAGUCUAGGUUCUCUGGAGAUACCUUGAGGGUUUUACGGCAUAUGACCUUGUCUCUGUGUAAGAAUCACGAGCCAGAGGCUUUGAUAGGACUACAGAAAUGGGUAUCAACUGCAUUUUUUCCGUUAUUUAUGGAAGAAAACCGAAGUGUGACUGACGAUGGAAGAUUUGGAUCCUUGUCUUGGAUCACAGGACUUGUCUAUCAAGCACAAGGUCAGUACGAAAAGGCUGCUGCCCACUUUACUCAUUUAUUACAAACUGAAGAGUCGCUUGGUUCUAUGGGUUCUGAAGGUGUACAAUUUGCCAUAGCUCGUAUAAUUGAAAGUUAUAGUGCAGUUUCGGAUUGGAAAUCACUUGAAUCUUGGCUGUCAGAGUUGCAAUUGCUUCGUGCUAAGCAUGCUGGCAAAAGUUAUUCCGGUGCUCUAACAAUGGCAGGAAAUGAGUUAAAUGUGAUUCAUGCCCUGGCUCAUUUUGAUGAUGGUGAUUACAAGGCAGCAUGGGCAUGCCUUGACUUGACACCUAAAAGUAGCAAUGAACUUGCACUAGAUCCAAAAGUAGCUUUGCAAAGGAGUGAGCAGAUGCUUUUACAGGCGAUGCUUUUCAAUAUGGAGGGGAAGAUGGAGAUGGUUCAGCAUGAACUACACAAGGCAAAGUUAAUGCUGAAUGAAACAUUCUCGACUUUGCCACUUGACGGGUUGACAGAAGCAGCAGAACAUGUUAACCAGCUGCAUUGCAUACUUGCGUUUGAAGAGAGUUGCAAGAUUUCAGGCACUCAAGACACACAACUUUCAUUGUUGUUGAGCUCGUAUAUUCAAGAAGUGCAGUUCCCAAGCAAUCACAUCAUUCAAGAUUGUAAGCUAUGGAUGAAAGUUCUCCGCAUUUACCGAACAAUUCAUCCAACCUCCCCAGUGACUCUAAAUCUCAGCUUGAAUUUACUGAGUUUGGCUCGAAAACAAAGAAACCUAAUGCUAGCAAAUCGUCUCAAUGACUAUUUUAGGAAGUGUCAUUUAGGUUCUUCUGAAGAAAGUUUUCAUAAAUCCAUCUUCUCAAGUGUGCAAUAUGAAAGCAUUCUCUUGAUGCAUGCUGAAAACAGGCUUGAAGAGGCAUAUACAGGUAUAUGGUCAUUUCUUAGUCCUUCCAUUGUUUCCUCCUCAGCUGCUGUUUCUGUUGCUGCUGCGGAUGCUCUAAAGGCAAAGGCUUGCUUAAAACUUUCAAAUUGGUUAAGAAGGGACCAUAUGGAUGCCAAUUUGGAGAAUAUUAUUUUCAAAAUGCGAUCGGAACUUGCUGCAAGAAGUACUUCCCUUGGUGAAGAACUCAGGCACACUGAUGAUAAUAUGAACUCUAAACCAAGGAUGAAUCUCAUUGUUGAGGAACUUGUAGGUACAGCUACUAAACUCUCUUCACGUCUUUGCCCCACUAUGGGAAAGUCGUGGAUCUCCUAUGCUUCUUGGUGUUAUGCUCAAGCUAGGGCAUCCCUGCCAAGCCCAAAUGAUACUGCACUUCAGUCUUGCUCCUUUUCUCCAAUUCUUGGAUCUGAAAUUCUAGCAAAUAGAUUCACAUUAACUGAAGAAGAGCUGUUAAGAGUCAAAUCUGUCGUUCUAGAGCUUCUUCAGAAAGCAAGAGAUGUUAAAGAUUUAACUGGUGUCCUGCAAGAUGGCAACUUCAUGUUUGAAUCUCCUGAACAAGAGAGAGAUGAAAACUAUGUCCAUGCGGUGGUGCAGCAAGUAGUGAGUAUAAUUGAAGCUGCAGCUGGAGAACCUGGAGCCGAAAGUUCUAGUUGUGAACGCCUUUCUGCUGUUGUUGCCUCACAGUUGCAAAAAUUCUUUCUUUUUGCAAAUAUUGGUGUUGAGGGAACUGCGUUAUCAGUGUUAAAUGACUUGGUUGAGGUUUGGUGGUCCUUGAGAAAGAGAAGGGUAUCUCUGUUUGGGCAUGCAGCUCAAGCUUAUAUAAAUUACCUGUCACAUUCAUCUUCCAAGCUCUGGGGUAGUCAACUGGCUGGUGCUGCUGGUGAGGAAGGCCGAAAGAAUGCAAGUUAUACAUUGAAAGCUACACUCUAUGUCUUGCAUAUUCUUCUUAACUACGGGGUGGAGUUAAAAGCUAUCCUGGAACCUGCGCUUUCCACAGUUCCUUUGUUGCCAUGGCAGGAAGUGACACCUCAACUAUUUGCACGGUUAAGCUCUCAUCCUGAAGAAGAUGUUCGGAAACAGCUUGAGGGCAUUCUGGUGAUGCUGGCAAAGCAAUCUCCAUGGUCUAUAAUUUAUCCAACACUUGUUGAUAUUAACACAAGUGAAGAGGAUCUUUCUGAGGAGCUUCAACAUAUAUUGGCGUGUUUGAACAAGCAAUAUCCAAGAUUAGUCCAGGAUGUCCAGCUCAUGAUUAAAGAGCUAGAAAAUGUAACCAUUCUUUGGGAAGAAUUGUGGCUCAGCACACUCCAGGAUCUUCACUCAGAUGUAACCGGACGGAUAAAUUUGCUGAAAGAGGAGGCGUCACGUAUUGCGGAGAAUGUUACACUUAGUCAUACCGAGAAGAACAAGAUAAACGCAGCAAAAUACUCUGCUAUGAUGGCUCCUAUUGUUGUUACCUUGGAGCGUCGUUUGGCUUCUACCUCUCGGAAACCUGAAACACCUCAUGAAAUGUGGUUCCACGAUGAGUAUAUGGGACAGAUCAAGGCAGCCAUUUCAAACUUCAAGACUCCAGCUUCUGCUGCUGCACUUGGGGACAUUUGGAGACCAUUUGAUAGCAUUGUUGCAUCUCUGGCAUCCUAUCAAAGGAAAUCAUCAAUAUCCUUGGGAGAAGUCGCACCUCAACUGGCUCUGCUAUCGUCAUCUGAUGUUCCAAUGCCUGGUCUUGAGAAGCAAAUUACUGUUUCUGAGUCUGAAGGGGAUCUGACAAGUACUCUUCAGGGUAUUGUCACAAUUGCAUCUUUCUCGGAACAAUUAGUUAUCUUGCCAACAAAGACGAAACCUAAGAAACUCGUUAUAGUUGGCUCAGAUGGUCAAACGUACCCUUAUCUGUUGAAAGGCCGGGAAGACCUGCGUCUUGAUGCUAGAAUAAUGCAACUGUUGCAAGCUAUAAAUGGUUUUCUACAUUCGUCUGCUGCGACUGACAGUUGUCCUAUUGGCAUCCGGCAUUAUUCAGUGACACCUAUUAGUGGUCGCGCUGGUCUAAUUCAGUGGGUGGAAAAUGUAACAAGCAUUUAUAGUGUCUAUAAGUCUUGGCAGAACCGUGUGCAGGCUGCCCAACUUUCAGGGGUUGCUUCUGGCAAUACAAAGAACUCAGUGCAGUCACACAUACCUCGGCCUACUGAUAUGUUUUAUGGUAAAAUUAUACCAGCACUGAAGGAGAAAGGCAUAAGAAGAGUGAUCUCUCGAAAAGACUGGCCGCAUGAUGUCAAACGAAAAGUUCUUUUGGACCUUAUGCAGGAGACUCCUAAACAGCUUCUCCAGCAAGAAAUUUGGUGUGCAAGUGAAGGAUUCAAAGCCUUCCGCUCAAAAUUGAAAAGGUAUUCUGGAAGCGUAGCAGCCAUGAGCAUGGUAGGGCACAUCUUGGGUCUUGGGGACAGGCAUUUGGAUAAUAUUCUUUUGGACUUCCAUAGCGGGGAUAUUGUCCACAUUGAUUAUAAUGUGUGCUUUGACAAAGGACAAAGGUUAAAGGUUCCCGAAAUUGUUCCCUUCCGCCUAACACAAACACUUGAAGCAGCUUUAGGAUUAAUGGGCACGGAAGGCUCCUUCAGAAAAAACUGUGAAGCAGUUCUUGGCAUCUUGAAGAAGAACAAAGAUGUGCUCUUGAUGUUAUUAGAGGUUUUUGUCUGGGAUCCUCUUGUGGAGUGGACACGCGGAGAUUUUCAUGAUGAUGCGGCAAUUGUCGGUGAAGAAAGAAAAGGCAUGGAGCUGGCAGUUAGCUUAAGUCUAUUUGCAUCUCGAGUUCAAGAAAUUCGUGUACCUUUGCAGGAACAUCAUGAUCUCUUAUUGGCUACAUUACCAGCUGUUGAGUCUGCUCUUCAGAGGUUUGCAGAUGUCCUAAGUCAAUACGAGGUUGUAUCUGCCAUCUACAAUUGCACAGAUCAGGAAAGAUCUAACCUGAUUCUGCAUGAGACAUCAGCUAAAGCAAUUGUUGCUGAAGCAACUACUAAUUCAGAGAAAACCCGUACUUCAUUUGAGUUACAGGCUCGAGAAUUUUCUCAAACAAAGGCUGCUGUAGCUGAGAAAGCCUUGGAGGCAACUACCUGGAUUGAACAACAUGGAAGGAUUAUUGAUGCUCUAAGAAACAGUUCUAUCCCAGAGAUAAAAUCCCACAUACAGUUAACUGGUAAAGAAAAAUGUUUGGCUCUUACCUCUGCUGUUCUGGUGGCAGGGGUUCCAUUUACUGUUGUUCCAGAGCCUACACAAGUCCAAUGUCAUGAUAUAGAUAGGGAAGUUUCUCAGCUAAUUUCUGAUCUGGAUCAUGGUGUCAGCGCUGCUGUUACAGCUCUCCAAACAUAUUCCUUGGCUUUACAAAGGAUCCUUCCUCUAAAUUACCUUACAACCAGCCCGGUGCACAGUUGGGCACAAAUUCUGAAACUUUCAGUUAAUACCAUUUCUUCAGAUGUUCUGUCGCUUACCAGAAGACAGGGUGCUGAGCUUGUUGCAAAUGUGCGUGAAGAUGGUUUUGAGACAGUGAAGAGCAUUCAUAAUGAUUUGUGUCUUCAAGUAGAGAAGUAUGCGGAGGAGAUUGAGAGAGUUGAAAAAGAGUACCAAGAACUGGUGACCUCGAUUGGUGUGGAGACCGAAUCCCGAGCCAAGGAUCGUCUCAUGGCCGCUUUCACAAAGUUCUUGCAGUCAACUGAUCUUGGGAGGAGGGAGGAUGGCAUCCCUUUGGUAAGUUUCGGUUCAAGGCAGCAAGAUAGGAUCAAAGAUUUUAGAUUGCAAAGUGAGUUGGUCGAGAAGCAUGAGAAGAUUUUAACUGUAGUAAGCAUGGCUGUAAGUUCUCUUUAUAACGAGGUUAAGCAUAGACUACUUGAGGUAUUGAGUCAUUCAAGUGGGGCAAGAACUACGAACAGCAGGCUGCAGUCUGAUCUAGGAACUCUUCUCUGCGAGUUUGAAGAGAAAAUAGAGAAAUGUGUUCUUGUUGGAGGAUGGGUAAAUGAAAUAAAGCAAUCUAUUGCCAUGGAUAUGCCUCAGGUUGAUGCAAAUAUAGAUAGAUCAGAUGAUUCUUUUGAGACAAACUGGGCUUCCAUUUUCAAAACCAGCUUGCUCUCAUGUAAGAGCUUGGUUGCACAAAUGAUUGAAAAUGUUCUACCAAAUGUCGUGAGAUCUGUUAUUUCAUAUGAUUCAGAAAUCAUGGAUGCAUUUGGAUCUCUUUCACAAAUCAGGGGUUCAAUUGAUACAGCACUGGAACAGCUGGUUGAGGUUCAGAUAGAGAGAGCAUCUCUGGUAGAGUUGGAGCAGAGUUAUUUUGUGAAGGUGGGCUUUAUUACUGAGCAACAGUUGGCCCUUGAAGAGGCUGCUGUUAAGGGUAGGGAUCAUCUCUCUUGGGAGGAGGCUGAGGAGCUCGCAUCUCAAGAAGAGGCUUGUAGAGCACAACUGGAUGAACUCCAUCAAACAUGGAAUCAGAAGGACAUUCGAACUUCUUCUCUAAUAAAGCGGGAAGGAAGUAUUAGAAAUGCUUUAAUAUCUGCCGAAAAUCAUUUUCAGUCUUUAAUUGGUCAAGAACAAGAUCGGGAACCACAAUAUUCAAGAAGCAAAGCACUUCUCUUGGCACUAGUCCAGCCGUUCGUUGAAUUAGAAUCAGUUGAUAAGACGUUAGCAUCAUAUGGCAGCAGAUCAUCCGAUUCUUCAAGUGGAGUUUCCCAAGUUACAGAUUUGAUUAAUUAUGGUAGUGCUAUACCAGCAUAUAUUUGGAAAUUCUCUGGCAUACUGGAAAGCCAUUUGUUUUUUAUGUGGAAAGUGGCUGUUAUGGAUUCUUUUCUUGAUUCGUGCAUACGUAUAGCAGCUUCGUCGAGGGAUCAAAAUUUGGGAUUCGACCAUGUUGUAAAUGCUGUUAAGAAAAAGCUGUCUAUCCAACUCCAGGAACAUAUUGGUCAAUAUCUAAGGGACAAAGUUGCCCCGCUUCUGGUGACUAUGUUGGAUACAGAAAGUGAACUUCUGAAGCAAGUGCCUGUGGCUACAAAGGACCUUGAUUUGGAAGAGAUGACAAGAGAUAUUAGUGCUGUUGAAAGAGUGAAACUAAUGCUUGAAGAAUACUGCAAUGCACACGAAACAGUAAGAGCUGGAAUGUCAGCUGCAUCACUCAUGAAAAGACAGGUGAAAGAACUUAAAGAGGGUCUGCAUAAGACCUGCUUGGAUAUUGUACAGUUGGAGUGGAUGCAUGAUGUCACCUUGAGUCCCUUGCAUAAUUGCAGGCUGAUAUGUCACAAAUUUCUUUCAAGUGAUGACAACACCCUUCCAGUUAUUCUAAACCUUAGCAGACCUAGAUUGUUGGAAACUAUACGGUCUUCGGUAGCCAAAGUAGUUCGGUCAAUAGAGUGCCUGCAAGCUUGUGAACAAACUUCGAUUGCAGCAGAAGGACAGCUUGAGAGAGCCAUGGGGUGGGCUUGUGGUGGUCCUAACUCGGGCAUGACUGGUUCUACCUCAGCAAGGAACUCGGGAAUUCCACCUGAAUUCCAUGAUCAUUUAGCAAAGAGACGUCAGUUGUUAUGGGGUGCUCGAGAAAAGGCAUCAGAUAUAAUCAAAAUAUGUAUGUCAAUAUUGGAUUUUGAAACAUCUAGAGAUGGGGUGCUUGGGAUUCCUGGAGAACAUUCAAGCAGAGCAGGGGCAGAUGGCAGAGCCUGGCAGCAAGCUUACUUUAAUGUAUUAACAAAUUUGGACGCCACUUAUCAUUCUUUUACACGUACUGAGCAUGAGUGGGAGUUAGCACAAAGUAAUAUGGAAGCUGCUUCAAAUGGUUUACUCACUGCAAGCAAUGAACUGCGUGUUGCUUCUGCUAAAGCAAACUUGGCAUCUGGGGAUUUACAAGACACCUUUGUUGCUAUGAGAGACUGCGCUUAUGAAGCUAGCAUGGCAUUGUCUGCUUUCGGAAGCAUUACCAGGGGUCACACUGCUCUGACUUCUGAGUGUGGGUCCAUGCUUGAAGAGGUUUUGGCAAUAACAGAAGGUCUACAUGAUGUUCACACUCUGGGAAAAGAGGCUUCUGCGUUACACUCUUCUCUUAUGGGAGAUCUUUUAAAGGCAAAUAGCAUUGUACUUCCACUGGAGUCGGUGUUAUCGAAGGAUGUUGAUGCAAUGACCGAGGCUAUGACCAAGGAAAGAGAGACAAAAAUGGAAAUAUCUCCUAUUCAUGGACAAGCCAUAUACCACUCUUACCAUACAAAAAUUAAGGAGGCUUGUCAGGUGAUUAAACCUUUGGUUCCAUCACUUACAUUUUCUGUGAAGGGACUCCAUUCCAUGCUUACAAGGUUGGCACGGACAGCAAAUAUCCAUGCGGGAAAUCUUCACAAGGCUCUUGAAGGACUGGGCGAAAGCCAAGAAAUAAGGUCACAGGACUUGAACUUAUCAAGGCCAGAUCUUGUUGGGGAUGACACUGGAUAUGAUAACAAAGAGAAUGACAUCUUCUCCAGAUCGGAUGGGGAAUGCGAUGAGGAGUUGCCUCAGAUGACAGGAUUCAGUUUGCAAGAUAAAGGAUGGAUAUCUCCACCAGAUAGUAUUUAUGAUGGCAGCUCAGACUCUGGUCCUACGUCAGCUGAAGCAAGUGCUGCUGAUAGUUUCACUGGCUCGGAAGUAACCGAACCACAUCCAGAUGUACUUGAUUGCAAAGAAAGCACAGACAUAUCUAGUUCUUCCCCAAGUGGAACUGAUGCUCGAGAAAAUUCUUAUACGGAGGAGUUGGAAUCUAGAGAUAAGGAUGCUAGCCAAGGGGAUGGUGAUCCCAUGGAUGAUAAUCUUGAAGAUGUGGCAUCAUGUUCUGGUACUUGUGUAUCAAGUUCCUCUGGAAUAAAUAUAGGACUUUCAAAUAUAAAAAUCGGUACCCAACGGCAAGCAUCUUCCUUGGAUCAAGAGGAAAGUCGUAAAUCCCCUACACAAAAUACAGAUGCUCCAGGCCAAGUGAGCAGGGUGAAGAGUAAAAACGCUUAUGCCAUGUCAGUUCUAAGGCGGGUUGAAAUGAAAAUAGAAGGUCGAGAUAUCCCCGAUAACAGAGAUGCAAGUAUCGCAGAGCAAGUCGAUUAUCUACUUAGGCAAGCAACGAGUGUGGAUAAUCUCUGCAAUAUGUAUGAAGGUUGGACUCCGUGGAUUUGAGCCUUGAAAGUGCAUUCCUUGCUACCAACCACCUGACCCAUAUAGGCAUUUGGUCAGUCUAGGGUGUUUACUUGGUGCACCUUUCUUGACCACGAGUGAGUUAGAAGGUCGUUUACAUGUGCCCUAGUCCGCGUUCAGGUAUACUCCAAAACACGGGCAACUGAAAUCGUCAAAACGGCAUGCCAUUUCAAACACGGUCGGCUUUUUCCAAACAUGCUACAGGCUUCCUCAGAAGACUCUUAUGAGCUCAUUUUUUGCAACCUUGAACAUUCAGAAACUGCUGCAAGGUAUUGCUCUUCUGCUAGGUGUCUUCUCAGAAACAGUGUGUCUGUCUGACUGUGUCUUGAGACAGUCUUGGAGGCUUGAGACAAACAAUCUUUCGGUUUCUUGAAAAGCAAAAGAUUGUUCGGUCACGACUCACGAGGGUAUUGGUAAUCAUACGGUGCCCACAACAUCGUUGAUAUUGCCUGUAACAUAUUUGCCAGUUUCUACUGUGUAAGUGUUUUUUUUUUCUGAAGUACAUAAAUAGACUUGAAUCUUCAGUUACAGGCCAUUUGAAAAUCAAGUGAACUGUUUCCUGGACAGAUACUUCAUACAGACCUACUGGAUUAGAGUUUAGUUAUAAGAUCAUAUUUCUGAUAUAUCUGAUUAGUUUAUCAUAUCAACU